GUCAUGACCUCCACGAUAUUUACCAUCGCUCAUAUCAACGACCGGAAUAGGAGGAGGAAUAUUGAAGAAGCUGAAAAGGCUAUUAUGGAGGAACACGCGGCAAACAACGGAAAAGAGGUUUAUGAUCCUUUCAAUAGACGUCCCAUACGACCUGCACCAGGAGUGGUAUCCAAAUCACCACCACAACCAAAACCAGUUGGACCUGUAAGGGAGACGCCUAGACCUGAGAGGAGAGUCUUAGUGCCGAAAAGGACUCACAAUCUCAAACCGUACGAGAGGCAUUGAGAAUCUGUGGAUUACGAUCUCGAUGUUUUUGAGUGAAUUUGUCAAAAUUUCGAGAAUUUCCAAUUUCACUGAUUGGUCAGGAACAAAACAUUGUCAAUUUUUAAGUGCUGAUAUUAGUACAACGUCAGUGAUACGAUGCAGCAGAUUUUCCCAGUGAAGAAAUGAUUAAUGAAAAAAAAAAAAAUUUGAUAUAUGUACAUAUGUGAAUAAUACUGUUGUAAUUCGGAUAAUAUGCAAGAUAUUUGCAUUAACCUAGUGAAAAGUUGAUUUCACAGAAAAAAAAUGAUUGUAUUAUAUGUGAUGAAAUUAAUAUUUCAGCCUUCAA